UUUUUAGAUCUGGUGGACCAUCUUUAAGGAUCCUAUCAGUUCUAUUUGAUCCAUCCCGGAUGCUGUGCAGAUGAUAAGGACGAAAAAAAUAAUUAAAACUUGGGAUGCAGGUGCAUGCACGCGAAGGUUUCACCAUACUCCGGACAAUUCCUGAAAGAUAUUUUGGUCCUAAGAUGCAUCGCUGGUACCUGUAGAGAAAUGCAUAUCGGAUAUUCCAUCCAUGAUGACAAUUCGAUGUCCGAGUGUCAGCGAUAUCAUGGUGUAAGACUUUGAGUCUUGAUUCACGGUGGGCAAUUGUCAGUCGCGUCAGGCGCACGCUGAAUUCUUAUGCUAAUGCGAGAAAGGAGCCGAGAAGACAAUACAGCCACAUCCACGUUCAACCACAACAUACGCAGGUCGUACCGUAUUCUGUAUUCUGUAUUCCGUCUAGUGAAUUAAUACAGCUACGGGGACCGCCGAGUGAUUUUAGAUGUGGAGAGAUCGUGAUCCGCUCGCUUGGAUCGUUGACCAGCUGAACCUGGCACGAUCGCCCGAUCAGGAGGAACGUCCGGGUUUUGAAUCUCGAGACUUGGAUACAUGAGAAAUUUUCACAAUUUUCAAUUCCAUACGAGAGAGGAAGAGGAUAGGAGAUAAAUUUGAAAUUUCCACGAGAAACAAUGACAAAUCUAAAGAAAAAGCAGAGCCACAAUAUUGAGAUGAUGACGAAUUUUCAUAGGAACUGUGACUAAUGACUCUCAGAAGCGUCACGAAGAGAGAAACGAUAAAAGUGAUUCUCUGGAGUGGAAAGGAAAUGGCAUGUUGUAUCUACGCAAGAAAAUGACACAGUGCCCGGCUAAAAUUUGCACAAUAGUUUUGGUUUACCGUGUUACGUACGAGAAAGCAAGGAUUCCUCUUUCCGUUUCUUCCUCGAGUGACUCUGUUAUGUGGAGGUUACUGGUGGAUGCUACUUCCGUUUGGCUGGCACAAGAACGUUACGGUAUCGGCACCACUUCCGGUCAACAUAGACGCUUCCGGACUACAGUCGAAUUAUCCCAUGAGCUUGGUCGAUUCCCACGCGGUACACCCCUUUGCGAAAAAUUUUCAACAAUGAAACCAACAGUCGUUGCUCGAAACAGUCAGCUGUGGUGGAACUGUUAGAUAAAUAAAUAUGUAACAGAAAUAUGAAGACUCAAAGGAUAAAAAAAGUAAGGAUUAAAUCUUUAUACUCCAUAAUGAAAGUUUAUUUGGCCAUUCUCAUCCACUCGUUUCACUGCUACAGGUGUUCGUGACUAUUCGCAAAAUGAAUCAUCUAUUCAGUGCAUGCAAAGAUGUCGAUAGCCCUCCUGUAUAAAUAUAUAUAUAUAUAUAUAUGCAGGUAUGAAGUACAAUCACGAAGUUUAAAAAUGGCUGCACAAAGCCAUCACACACAAACGCACAUACCCGUCCUUAUGGCUCAGAAGAAGCUUUGGUCGCUGAUCGCUGAACAACGUGCGCGGCCAUUACUCAUCGAUUAGGAUUCAUCAGGACUCUCCGUUACUUUUUAGGCACGAGCUCAAGCAAGUUGUUAUGGCGCAGGUUGCUACCUUCAUGGCGUAUCAGAACCCAUGACUAUGUAUGACUCUUGCAAAGAUCUUCCAUGCUGUUUUUACAAUCUCUCAAUAUUCUAUUUGAAGCUGUCCUUACGGUGCAGCCAUUUAUUUUGGUAAUAGUACAAAUGACCACCUGUCACUUGGACUGGUCUUGAGAAAAGCUCAGCAGAAUACCAGAAAACAAUCUCUCCUUGGCUACCAUGUACUUAAUUUCUUUUCACUUCUUUACAGUUAAACAGAGCGAUAAAUUAUUGCUCCUCGAAUCCAGCAAUUGCGAAGAUCUCAUAAGUAAUAAUGCAGGCGUAUAAGGGCAUGGCGAUGGUUAAAGACAGUGACUGAUGCCGGUGCGACGAGGAAUCAUCUACAGGGAAAUCAGAUCACGAUUAAUGUGGGAAAUCAUGAAGCCCAGGAAUAUCGGUAGUCAAGAGGGAGGAUAACACUGAGAAGUCCAGCAGGUAACGGUCGUUCUGCCUGGCCAGGACAGAUGAGUGUAGCAUUUCCCAUAUUGUCUCCGCAACUGACGACUAUCCUGCAAACAGGCAACCACUAAUCCAGUGGUGCUCAGGAUGCUUGUGUAUCUGACACCCUUGCAAGGGAUGAACUCGAGGUGAGUUUCGAGCUGUUCAGUGAGUAGAGAAUAAAAAUGUUGUUAAUCCUAUAUAUGAUUGACUUUUAGGUUACCUUAAUCCCAUUACCAUUUCAGGGUAAUUUCUAACCUACAAAUUGGGAAUGAGACAAGAUAAUAAUUAACCAGGAAUACAGUCCUGUGGGCACGAUAUCGUCUUUUAGAUGAAAUUGAGCGUCACUGAACUGACCAGUACGACAUCCAGGCAACGAGGCAACGGCACGAAGACGGCAACGUAUGAGCGAGCAGGCAGUAGGUAGGCGUGGCUCCCACCCAACUAUACAAAAUUACAUAUUCCUCAUCGAGGCUCGAAUACGGGAAAAAUUAUGAAUUGCGCUUACUGGAGGAUCCUACUGUGGCAGUGAAGACAUUCUUUUCAAAUAUGAUCCAAUCGAUGGACCCUUGCUUCAGUUGACACAUAUACAACAAAUUUGGAAAUCUC